GCAGAUUAGCUAGUUGGUGGGGUAAAGGCCUACCAAGGCGACGAUCUGUAGCUGGUCUGAGAGGACGACCAGCCACACUGGGACUGAGACACGGCCCAGACUCNUACGGGAGGCAGCAGUGGGGAAUUUUGGACAAUGGGGGCAACCCUGAUCCAGCAAUGCCGCGUGUGUGAAGAAGGCCUUCGGGUUGUAAAGCACUUUUGUCCGGAAAGAAAACCUCCNNNNUAAUACNNNGGGGGGAUGACGGUACCGGAAGAAUAAGCACCGGCUAACUACGUGCCAGCAGCCGCGGUAAUACGUAGGGUGCGAGCGUUAAUCGGAAUUACUGGGCGUAAAGCGUGCGCAGGCGGUGCUGUAAGACCGAUGUGAAAUCCCCGGGCUUAACCUGGGAACUGCAUUGGUGACUGCAGCGCUGGAGUAUGGCAGAGGGGGGUGGAAUUCCACGUGUAGCAGUGAAAUGCGUAGAGAUGUGGAGGAACACCGAUGGCGAAGGCAGCCCCCUGGGCCAAUACUGACGCUCAUGCACGAAAGCGUGGGGAGCAAACAGGAUUAGAUACCCUGGUAGUCCACGCCCUAAACGAUGUCAACUGGUUGUCGGGCCUUCAUUGGCUUGGUAACGUAGCUAACGCGUGAAGUUGACCGCCUGGGGAGUACGGUCGCAAGAUUAAAACUCAAAGGAAUUGACGGGGACCCGCACAAGCGGUGGAUGAUGUGGAUUAAUUCGAUGCAACGCGAAAAACCUUACCUACCCU
rnacentral:rRNA from 1 species